rnacentral:rRNA from 1 species
GAGUUUGAUGAUGGCUCUGAUUGAACGCUGUCCAAAUGCUUGACACAUGCUAAUCGAACGUCAUAGGACUAAUCCUAUGAAGUGGUGUACAGGGUCGAAACUGAGAGGUUGAUCGACCACAUUGGGUCUGAAAAAACCCCAAUACGUAUAGUACAGCAGUGAGGAAUAUUGGUCAAUAGCCUAACGGCUGAACCAGCAACUUGGAGGAAUGUAAGUAUAUGUAGGGUUAGCCUUACAUAUGCGUUUCGACUACGUCGUAUAAAGUUCUAGAUAGAAUACUGAUAAUGACAAUUUUCUAUCUAUAUGUCUUGACCAAAUCUCGUGCCAGCAGUCGCGGCAAUACGAGGAAGACUAGUGUUAUUCAUCUUUAUUAGGUUUAAAGGGUACCUAGACGGCAUAUCAAGCCCCAAAAGGGAACAGAUAUACUAGAGUUUUAUGUGAGAGGAAUAUAUUAGUACUAUUGGUGUAGAGAUGAAAUUCUUUGAUACUAAUAGGACGGAUAAGAGCAAAAGCAAACCUUUAUGUAAAAACUGACGUUGAGGGACGAAGGCUUGGGUCGCGAAUAGGAUUAGAUACCCUAGUAGUCCAGGCAGAGAAUUAUGAAUGUUAUAGACUUGCGAAUGUAAGUGUAUAAAUGAAAGUGUAAGCAUUCCACCUCAAGAGUAAUGUGGCAACGCAGGAACUGAAAUCAUUAGACCGUUUCUGAAACCAGUAGUGAAGUAUGUUAUUUAAUUCGAUAACCCUCGAAAAACCUUACCACAAUUUGAAUACUUCGACCAAAGGUCGUUGUACAAGUGUUGCACGGCUGUCUUCAGUUAAUGUCGUGAGAUUCUGGUUAGAUCCAUUAAAUUAACGUAAACCCUUACUUUAUUUGUUUUUUAUAAAGUAGUUCACCGCUAUAUUGGAUGUGAUAACAGGGACCAAGACAAGUCAUCAUGACCUUAAUAUUGUGGGCUAUAGACGUGCCACAUAUGCCUUUACAAAGAGAGGCGAAAAUGCGAAUUUGAGCUAAUCUCUAAAAUUGGAUAUAAAAUGAAUUGCAGCCUGUAACUCGGCUGCAUGAAAAAGGAAUUACUAGUAAUCGUGAAUCACCACAUCACGGUGAAUUUAAUCUC